UACGUAGGGUCCGAGCGUUUGUCCGGAAUUAUUGGGCGUAAAGGGCUCGUAGGCGGUCUGUUGCGUCGGGAGUGAAAUCACUGGGCUUAACCGAGUGCUUGCUUUCGAUACGGGCAGACUUGAGGCAUUCAGGGGAGAACGGAAUCCUGGUGUAGCGGUGAAAUGCGCAGAUAUCAGGAGGAACACCGGUGGCGAAGGCGGUUCUCUGGGCCGAUACUGACGCUGAGGAGCGAAAGCGUGGGGAGCGAACAGGA
rnacentral:rRNA from 1 species